rnacentral:rRNA from 1 species
CCUACGGGAGGCAGCAGUGGGGAAUUUUGGACAAUGGGGGAAAGCCUGAUCCAGCCAUGCCGCGUGAGUGAAGAAGGCCUUCGGGUUGUAAAGCUCUUUCGGCCGGAACGAAAUCAGCCGAGCUAACAUCUUGGUUGGAUGACGGUACCGGAAGAAGAAGCACCGGCUAACUACGUGCCAGCAGCCGCGGUAAUACGUAGGGUGCGAGCGUUAAU